ACCGGCGCACGGGUGAGUAACACGUAUCCAACCUGCCGUCUACUCUUGGACAGCCUUCUGAAAGGAAGAUUAAUACAAGAUGGCAUCAUGAGUCCGCAUGUUCACAUGAUUAAAGGUAUUCCGGUAGACGAUGGGGAUGCGUUCCAUUAGAUAGUAGGCGGGGUAACGGCCCACCUAGUCUUCGAUGGAUAGGGGUUCUGAGAGGAAGGUCCCCCACAUUGGAACUGAGACACGGUCCAAACUCCUAGGGAGGCAGCAUG
rnacentral:rRNA from 1 species